UACGGAGGGGGCUAGCGUUGUCCGGAUUCACUGGGCGUAAAGGGCGCGUAGGCGGUGCGGUAAGUCUGUAGUGAAAUCUCUGGGCUCAACUCAGAGUCUGCUAUAGAAACUGCCGUGCUUGAGUGUGGGAGAGGUGAGUGGAACUGCGAGUGUAGAGGUGAAAUUCGUAGAUAUUCGCAAGAACACCAGUGGCGAAGGCGGCUCACUGGCCCGGUACUGACGCUGAGGUGCGAAAGCGUGGGGAGCAAACAGG
rnacentral:rRNA from 1 species